UCGGCUAAUCGCACCUGGUCGCGAUCACCAGAUUGGAAUUUCGUCGAAAGAGAAUGAGCAGUGAAAUCGGUUUACACACAGCGUAGGUAUAAGACACACGAUGCGUGUAGGACACCCGAAUUCGGGACGUUUAGCACCUUCGCGACAAAGCUGACACAACUAAAAAUUGUCAUUUUUCGUAUUAAGACCAUAGUUGGAUUUGCAAAUUUCGAAUCUGGAAGCUUGAAAAGUGAUAUUUCUGUAAUUGAAAAAUUACGGCUCAUUAGCCAGCAGAAGUGACACCAGUCAAAAGGACUCUGUUCCUGCCACGUAAGAGCCUUUAGUAAAACGGAAUGGAUCCGAAUUUUUUACAAAUGAAUUAAGAAGCCGUGAAAAAACUUUUCACCGUAAACGGUUUACUUGAUAGAACUACAGCAGUAGCGGUUCAAGAGAUUUUCUCCCAGGAAUGAAAAAUAAGGGACUUUGAAGGAGCGCGUGUCUCUCCGGUUUCCGGAAUCCAGUUUGAUCUCGCGGAUUCCAGAGGACUGUAUACCUACACUCGCCAGUACCUGCCAGAGCGUCGCGACGCCGUCCUGUCAACCUCCCGCAAGAUAUUUUUCCCGUAUGGCUUACAACGAAGUAAAGUAACACCACUUCAAAGCGUGGCUCGACUUACAAUCGAACUGGGUUCGUUACUUUGGGUCUUUUAAUCAACUCGAUAACGUGCGAAACUGGAACGCUUCUUCCUCUCUUCGGCAUUAAACACUGCAGUUCCUUCUACAUCGACGAUCAGUGUUGUUUUACCGGAAACUAAGCCCCGCGGUGUCUCAACGAAGCGUGGGAGCGGCGAACGAAGAAGGGAAGAAGAAAAACGAGGACAAAGGAAGGAAAAGGGAAAAGACAAGUCGCUGAGCACAGGGAUUCAUCCGUCACUGUCGAUAUGUCGGAAAGCCAAAAAGCCGCCUCACCGUGGAAAAAAAAGAAGGUGAAAACCCCGAUGUAUGUACAUAAAUGAAAAAACAACCAUGACUCGAUCAGUGUAACGGAAAAAUUCAACCGAAGAAAGAAAUAACCGUGAAAAAUCAGGGUGAAACUACAAACGAUACACUGGGGGCCGUUUCCACCUGUACCCGAUAAGUCGUUUCGCCUUGUUGGAUAUUUUCUUUUUCACUGUUUUCGUUAUUACUCCGAUUGUAUACGUAUACCGAUCAAUCUAGAACAACGUUAAAUGGAACUUCGAGCAAAGGAAUUA
rnacentral:lncRNA from 1 species